AGGCAGCGAAACCACUGAGCUAAAUCCCUGGCCCAAUUUGGGCUUUCUUUUAAGGAAAAAUAUCUGUUUUCCUUCCUCACUUGAUAUUCAGAUGGUAGGUCUUUUAUGUUGAAUCUUGCUUCAAAAGUGGUUCACCUCUUUUUGAAUGAAAAGAAAGAACAAGGAUACUUCCAUUGCAGCCCACCCUCGGUUUUCACCUGGAAAUUCAUUUUUAUAAGCCAUUCCUAUGGGAAAUAAAGGAUGCAUAUAGGUUUGUUCAUACAAAAAAUGCUACAGCUCCCAAUCCAAGAUUUCCUUAUGGGAAAUGACAACAUCUAGUGAAACAAUGAGUAUAGGAAAUUAAAGAAAACUUGAACUAUGAUGGAUAUACUAAAGCUGAAUUAUUUGAGACCAAAUUUUCUUUAGCUUGUUUACUGCUGUUCACUUGAAAGGCACACACACACACACACACACACACACACACACACACACGACUGCUUUUUGAAAUCAAAUACAUUUCCUGCCUUCGUCUUUCCUCAGUACUCUUACAACCAACCUAUUUAUAGCCCAGGAAAGGAAAAAGCUUACUGGAGGCAGGAAAACUAAGUUCGGAAAGAAUAGGAGGAAGUGUGCCUGCCAUUUAGCCAAACAACCUUUAAUUCAUUGAGCUCAAAGCUUAGCAGCUUCACUGUGGCUGCUGGGCAUAAACAGCUGGCAAAUUUCAAUUUUUUUUCUCUUUACUUUUGAACUGGAUUUAGGCAAUGAGGGUGAUAACCAUGUUUUAGAAAAGAAAAUAGGAAUCUUGGGUGCUUAGACACAAUGAAGAGAAACUUGCAAGAAGUUUAUGAGGAUGAAAGAAAAAGAUAGUGGGAUGAACUUCAGAUGAUUGCAUGUCCGCAGUUAAGUGAAGAGCCCUGGUGAAACUGUGAGUUGAGAGGGCCCAGGGACUGCCAGCCUCUCGUCCCCCUCACAAACACGAUUCAACCUUCCACUGGUGGUGACCUGCCCUCCGGUGGGUCUUAGCAGCUGUUGGCAGUUUUGCACUAAAAGAAAACAAACUGAGGAAUGUACUUCCCUGCAUACUAACGAAAUGGCCCGGCCAACUCAGGGGUGAUGAGAAGGCUUUCGGAACCCAGGAGAAUAAUGAUCCUCAGUCUCUGACCUCCUGGCACGGCUUGCUGUUUAUCAGGAGGCACAUGUGACUGGCUAAGACGCUGAGCUGGGGCUUCAAGGAAACAGCUGCUGCUGGUGUACUUGGCUUUUGGCAGCUGGACAGGCAGAACACAGAGACAAAACCACCCCAGUAAGUAACUGCAGACUUUCAAGCUGUGUGUGCGCGUGUGUUUGCACAAGCUACCAACAACUUAUUUUAUUUUGAUUUUGGUUUCCCUCUGACUCUGUAGAAGGAAAUGCCUUAUUUGUACCUGUUAAUACCCAUUUGUGCUUUUACUAGCCAUUGAAGAACCUGUGAUUUUUAGCAACGUCGUCUUCUAGCUUUGCAAGGGAUGAAUGUGGCAUCUUCCUUUAUUCCUGUCUGAGGAAAGAGCUUGUUUCCAGGUGUCUGGGAUUUGUAUGGCCCAUAGCACUUAGCUUCAGAGCCAAGAUUCAGUCAGGUAACAAAGUACAGAACUCAUGGAAGUGAGCUGACUAGAUUUAAUUUUAAUCAAUUUUAUCAUUAAAAUUUCAAAGCAUAGUUGUUCAAAAUCACUUGUGAAUUUAUUGUGCGGCUGGCUUGACCAUUACUGGUUGACUUGAAGACUAUUUUUCUUAACAAUGUAUAAGUGGUUGUACUACUGAGAAGUGACAAGGUAAUACUUGAUUAGAUUAGAAAUCGUAUUCAGAUUUCAUGCAUGUUUUCCAACUCAUUGAAAGCUAUCUUUUUUCACUGAGUUAAUUCACUCCUGAUAUUUUAAAGCUAAAAUUUUCCGUUGCUCCUGGUCUUUCUUGUUUUAGUGUUUCUGUGAUGCUUGGGCUCUUGUUUCUUUGUUUAUGACAUGGAUUGUGAAAGUGCUGCCUGAAGCCGAUUGUCCACACUGGGGACCUGGCAUACAGAGACCUGAGAAGAUGUCCUUUCCAGGGUCAUUCAGCAACAGGGAGUUUGCUCUGCAGAGAGCUGCAAGUGGUGCCAUGCUGGGACAGAGUUUAGAGGUAUUUGUCCUUCUCUGGAGGUCACCAGCCAGAAUGGAUAAGAGGAAAGAAAAAAGAGGAAAGUUGAGGAGGCAGGACCUGGAAUAGAUGACGUAGCCUCUGAAAUUGACAGGCUUCUCAAUCAGAGGCGCAAGGAGAUGACAAAGCAGCUUCCUUUUCCAAAUUACCCGGACAGCAUUGAGGGGAGCGGGUGGUUGUUUUCAUUUGAUUUCUCAUUAGACAGUGUUUGGCUUGCAGUGAACCAGGGCACUCGGAAGUGUGACUGAGGGACCAGUGAGUAGGCUCAUGUUGUGCAAUAUGCAUGGGACUUUUGGCCCUUCCCCGAGGGAACUCUGCUUUCUCUCCCACUGCCAGGCACCUUUUGUUGGAUGUGGAGAUUGGAUGGAAAAUGACCCAAGGUAUGUUGGUUCUGCCCACAGGAUUCCCUCAACACAAUUGGGCUGGAGUACCUCAUUAGCAGCCGCAGAUGCCCCAAUGGGAAAAAAUGGCUAGCCUGGCAGAGAGAUGUUCUUCCCCUUAUUUCUUAAAAUAUAGAAGAAACCACAGUCUUGAGUGUCCAAUGAGAAAGAAAUGGUUGCAACUCCUCCGUUUCUGUUUAUGUCAUUUGUGUGAAGGCCCUUGGGUCAGCUGGCAUCCACAUGGCCUGCGACUUCCCUGUUGGGGUGCAGGGGAUCUGUUAUUUCCCUGUGCCUACCAUGCUGGGUCAUUUUCUAAGGAGUUCACUUCUGGUUUAGUUUCUCUUUUUCUAUAUGUUGAUAGUGGAAAAGAACUCUCCAGUGAAAUCAUGUUUUUAGAAAAAUAGAGCCUCUCACAAUAAAAUACAGUAUCUAAUUGAGUCUAAACUAAAGACUGAUCUCUGUAAUUGUGACACUGUCAUUUAUGGUAAUUUAUAGGGCAAGGUGUAGUUCAGUGUUAGAGCAUGUGCCUAGCGUGUGCCAGUUCCUGAUUUUGAUCUCUAUCACUGGAAAUUAAAAAGAGAGCCUAUUAAAUGGAAUAUCUGGCAUGGAAUGGUGGUGCAUGCCUGUAAUGACAGCUGCUCCACAGGCUGAGGCAGGAGGGUUGCCAGUUUGAGGGCUAGAUGGAAAGUUGCAGGCAGCCUCGACAUAGUAAGACCAUGUGUGGAAAAAAGCAAAAAGAAUGUCUAAAUGGGAAUGAGCAUAUUGUUUGAAUUAUACAACUGCUGAAUUUUUGAAAGUUCACAGAUCUUGAGCAACUCAAUGAACUUUCAAAAUGCUAAUGGAAUAAUAAUAAAAAUAAUUACUUUAGACACAUUAGAAUAUAUCAUUAUACUCAAAGACUUUUAGAUCUGGAUAGGAAUUAGGAAUGUUUAGUUUAGCACCUUCAUUUUGUAGAUGAGGAAAUUGCGAUAAAUGUAUCUGAGUCACAGUGCUGAGCCGGAAAAGAGAGUAGUUCUGGUACUGUUACAGGGUAAUAUUAAUUCCAGUAAUUAUAAUGUACAUUUAUUGUGCUCUUACCAUGCCAAGGGAUUAUAUUUUUAUAGAGUCUUCAUAUAACCCUAUGUGCUAUAUGGAUAGAUGGUGAUUCACAGUGGUUCAGCUUAACAAGUUUUUGCUAUCUUUUUUUUCUGGUACCAGGGACCGAACUCAGGACCUUGUGCUUGUGAGGCAGGUACAGCACCACUGAGCUACAUCCCCAUCCCUCAACAAGUUUUUGACUCUAGAAAAGUGUGAAAGUGAUAGGCAUCCAGUGGAAACCGUACUGGGAAUUUUGAAUUUGGAUCUUUUCAUGAACUAGUGAUAUGUUGUAUAAUCAAUCCUUUCUUGAGAGGCAGGGCAGCAACCACAGAUCAUGGGGGAGACAAUCAACCUACAUUGCCCAGAGUUGGUAAGCAGGGCCGUUCAGUAGGUUAAGUGCAUGAAAAUGCAUUUUCAACUAACCACAUUUUCAACUUUUGAUGGGUUGAUUGGUAUGUAACCCACUGUAAGUUAAGCAGCAUUUGUAUAUUAUUCUUCUUCCAGUUUCACAUAAGGAGAAAUGAAGGCGUGGAGUCCCCUUAGAUACAUACAGGAGUGACAUCCAGAUCUGAUACCAGAACCUACACACGUUAAAAAAUAAAAAUGCACUUUAUGGUGAAUCCCACACCGUUAAGCUUAAAAGCCCAUGAAAUGCAAAUGAGAGAAUUUCCAGCACAAUAAGAUUAGAUGCACAGUGUGUGUUAAGGGCUUUCCAAACCCUACAUGACAGGAAGGGCUAGGUUUCCCCCUGUGACAGUGCGAGCCUGGGCCACACAGCAGCACUGACCGGCAGUGUGUUUUUCUCUUUGGAGACAGUGCACAGUGACGGCCCUUGCACAGGAAAGGCCAGCAGCUGAGAGCUUUGUCACUACCUGGAGUGCACUGCUCUCACUGUCCCCUCUGGCCUAUCCCUUUUUUCCUGUCACUCCUUUCUUUUGGAGAACACCUGCUCCACCCAUGCCCCACCCCUAGUUGCUGGCUUAGUUUUAGUGAAACCUUCAUGCAACCUGCUCCUCGUGGCUCUGGUGGAAGGCUGGUUGUUCCAGCAGAUUGUUAUGAAGAGAAACAACCCAGGCUUUCACUCUGCUAUUGCUUGCUCUGAGGUAUGGCCCCAGAACGGGGCUUGGCUGGGAGGGAACAGACUUGUGCUUCUGUCUGCAGACUGUGAUGCUGCCUGCACCCUCCAUUUGCUCCGAGUCACAUUUCUCUCCCCACAUGCUACAUAUCCACACACUGCCUGUCUCACCUGUGAACCUGCGGCUUUUCUGGGUCAUGAGACAGAACCCUUACAUAAACUUGCUUCUUGAACCCUUUCAAAAGUUUCAGUUGGGUCUCCACAUUCCUUCUCCUGGUUAAAUCUGAAGAUUGUGAUAGCACAGCACUUGGUGAUAACAUAGAAGCAGCGGUGGAGCUGGAAAAGUCCUUUGGUUAGUCAGGGGGAAGAGUAAGCAAGUAGCCCAUGCAUGUAUGUCUUUGAGAAAAUUUUUCGUGUUUGUUCAAGGUCAUUAUGAUAAGAUUACAUUUCUGUUUUGUUGUUUGUUUGACACAGGGUCUUCCUAUGUAGUUCAGGCUGACCUUGAACUCACUGUAUAGUCCAAAGUGACCUCAAACUCACAGCAAUUCAAAUUCUGGGAUUACAGGUGUGUGCUUCCGUGCCUGUCUAAGAUUACAUAUUUUGAGGAUGAAGCUAUUCACAGAAAGAAAAGGAAAUUUGUAAUCUUUAGUUCCACCUGCCCAGGGCCUUAAGCCCAACUCAACAGUAGUUGUCUAUGCGGUCAGACAAGCCAGAACCACUGGGAAUUAGCUCCAAUGGAAGUUACAGUCACCCCUCAAUAUUCUUGAGGAUUGGUCUCUGGACUCAAUGAGUCCAAGGACACUCACGUUCCUUAUAAAUAAUGGCAUAGGGUUUGCAUACAACCUGUUCAUGUCCUCCUGUAUACUUUAAAUCAUCUCUAGGUUACCUAUAAUCUCUUCUAUAACAUAAACACUAUGUAAAUAAUUGUUAACUGUAUUGUUUAGGGAAUAAUAAUAAGGCUGUAGCUGUUCAGAACAGGUGUAAUUACUUUUGAAAAUAUUUUUGAUCCUCGGUUGGUUGAAUCUGUGGACAUGGAACCCAAGAAGGAGGCCACAAUGCCUCUAACCCUGGCUGGGAACUUCUUAUUUCCAUGGAAAUUGGCACAGUGUAGUGGGUGUUAUAUAGAAACUCAUGAAAUGGACUCAGAAUUCUAACAGAGUGCACCAGACAAGCUCCAGGGCUGUUUUGAAGCAAUACAAAAUGCUUGAUUAAUUUGGGGGGAACUCUUACAGUAAGGAAAUAAAUUCUGUGAUGCAGUGCUUAUUUUGUUUACAUGUGCCACAUUGUUUUAUUAUUAUUGCUAUUAUUAUUAUUAGUCUUUUUUUUCAGACAGGGCCUUGCUAUGUAGUUCAGACUGGCCUUGAACUCACUAUGUAGCCCAGGCUGACCUCCAAUUUGCAGCCAUCUACCUCCCUUAGCCUCUCAGGGGAUUCCAGGCAUGCACCACCACAUCCAGUUCUAGAUCGAGUGUUUUAAAGGUAUCUGUUCCCAAAGAGUUAAAAUCCUUGGCAUCCCCUUUCCCAGUAUAUCAAUUGCUCAUUUAUAGUCUGUGGUGUUAACUGCUGGACUCUUAUGUUCUCAUUGCUUUAUGAGAUUUGAUAUUUUUCAACUAGUCAUUAUACUUCCAGUCUGUGCUUUAGUCUUUGAGCCCAGCUUUGGCAUCAAGAUAAAUCCCUGCAAUUAUAUGGGAAUUUAGUGGCAUAAGGUACUUUCUUGCCCUUUGUCACAGUCCUGUGAAAGAGGGAGGACAUCAUCACCAUUGUGUACAGAGAGAAUGAGAGAAAAUGAGUAACUUGUCCAUGCUCAUAGAAUAAGGAACUAACAAAUUCAACUCAGCCUGCAGUCUGCUGACUUCCAAUCCCAGGCCCUUUCUCUUCCUAUAUGCUGUCAUCCAGAGAAAGACCAAUUUUGACUUUUUCAUGAUCAUAUGCUUAGAUAUAGCCCUGUGGGAUAAAAAGUAUCAUAACUUGUCUCAUUAUCUUCUCAUAGGCGAAAAGAAAAUAGAUGCCUGAUUUGUAGCAUGCCAUUCCAUUUGUAUUCUUGAUGGAAUUUCCAAAGCCUAUGUGCAAUUGACCUCAAACAAGGAACCUCUUAUAAUAGUUCAUACACAAUACUAUUUGCUUAGGGUAACAUUUAAAACAGAACUCAGUGAUCCUUUUCCUUCCCAGUGUGAUUGAGUUGGAGUCAAAUCUACUAUGGUGUGAUACAGCAUUCACCUGUAAGGAGAUCUGGUUGUUUUCUGAGAUAGAGAAAAUGAAGUCUUCCCUCCAGCACACACUCUCUCUGCCCAACAAGAGCAUCAGCACACUUGGAAGUUCUGCCUUCUUAAGGCAGCUGUAUUUCCAUGGAGCAAGAGUGUACUCUGACCACAGGAAUAGCAUACAAGAGCUACAGAAUUUCAUCUGAGUAGACCAAAAACACUACCAGAAGGCUUGAAUGAGCAAGAUGAUGAGACCAGGUGUUUUGACACCAAGCCUGCAGCUGCCCUGACCAGUAAAUAACUCUUCUGUAGCUUCUGGCUUCUCUAUUUAGAGUAAUAAACAACAAAGGAAAAAUACCAAUUCAUAUAGUGCCAGUCAUGUAAAUGACUCGUUCUAAGUGCUAGAAAUUAACCUGCUAUUUAAUUAUAAGAAGUUAUGAAAAGUUAUGAAAAGCCCAUAGUGACAACUGCUGGUGACAUACAUGAGUGUGACACAGAGAAGUAAAUUGUUACUAGUUGUAAUCAUAUAUCCAGAGCAAUUAUAGAGAGGAAGUGGGAGAGAGUGAAACUAUAUAUUCACCAUAGCAUGCAGAAUCUGAAAAUGUUUGCCUUCAGCAUGAAUAGGCACACAUUUUUUUUUAGAUAGUCCAAUGUACAUUUUAUUUUCUCUUAAUCUUUUCAAAAUUUAUAAAAUAAAGUAUUGAGGGGGCAUUGGCACCAGUCCCAAGCUGUUGAGGAAUCAUUAAUAGACAUCUAUUUAGUUGAUAGGAGAAACAUGUAUAAAACUUUAGGAGAAAAAAACCCCCAUAAAACUGGAGAAACUGCAAAACCCAGAGGUAAUGUUGAUAUUUAAGGAUAUUUUAAAUAGAAAUAAAUAAUAAUUUGCUAGCCUAACUAAACUUGACAAAUGCUGUAGAAAUCCUGAUAUAUUUUUUUGCUUAGAUAAGAGGUGAAAUUAGUCUUGCAAUCUGAAUCUACCUUUCGAGUGCGCAUUUGCCAGAAGGCUUAUGUAAGAACGAUAGCAGCCUUACUUAUCCAACCCACAAAUAGUAACACUCUGAAGAUCUGCACUGAAGGCUCCUCUUCGCUUUUGCAUCUGUGCUGUGAGUGGACUGCCCAUGUGUCUCAGAUAGGGCCAUGGUAUUGCCACUGUCUGCAAGACUAAGAAGAUACCAUAAUGGCAUAAUGGAGGACGUAGGUUGCAGAUAAGGAAAAUUCUUUCUAAAUUAAAAAAUAGCAUUUGUACUCUAAACAUUAUCAUAAAGCAUAAUUUGAUUUUGGAAGAAAUUGUAAUACUUGAAAACAACAUUGACAACAAUAACACAUUUUGCAAAACCUAGACUCCCUUAAUCUUGGUUCAGGUGCAUUUUGGGUUUCAGAGAUUCUUGAUUUUUCAUACGUAGAUGCAACUUUAGGUAUUUCAGUUAUUUUUCCUGAUCAUUGAUUUUUUUUUCAUAGUAGCUUUUUUUCCAUCAAAAAUCUGUAGUAACAAAUUAAUGAAAGUUUUAAACAUUGUUAUUUGUAUUAUUGUAUUAUUUGUAAAUACAAAUAUAAAUAAUGUGUGCUACAAAGGAAGUAUCUUUUUACCUAAAUAAUUCGUGCAUACUUUCAGAUUUUGUAUGAUUAAUACUUAAGGAUGCUGAGGUGAGUGAAUAAAUACAUGUUCUCUUUCCUAGGCUAGACUGUGAAGCAAAUUUUGCAAAGAAGCCACUGGGAAUGAGAUAUAGUGGUGUGAUAAAGAUGGUCAAGGGUCUAAAAUUGUGGGAACUUUCAGACUUGUAAAAUCCCCACAAGUUACCACAGAAGCUGGUGAGGCUCUUGUGCUAAUUUUAGUCCCCAGUUUGGCUUCACUUACUAUUUAACUCAUCAACAUCCUUAUUUUGUCCAGAAGAUCCAUUAGCAAACUUUAAGUGGAACUCUCUUUGUGUAAUAUUCACUCCCAAGAAUGGUUUAAUGGAUUUUAAUAACCCAAC
rnacentral:lncRNA from 1 species